CUGCAGCAUUGUAUCAUUUGUCGACCAUAUUUUUCAAUGAUUAAAAAAAAAAAACAUAUUUAUUACAUUGUUUUAGGAAGAAAUCAAAGUUUUCUGCAAUAUCUCAAAAACUGAUCAGACCAUCCUGUAUUUACAAGUCCGACCAACGAAUGGGACAUGAACCAAGCAACUUCUCCUGGUCCCAUCUGAAACUUAGGUUGCUAGAUGGGACAUGAACCAAGCAACUUCUCCUGGUCCCAUCUGAAACUUAGGUUGCUAGGUGGUAACGUUAGCAACCUAGCUUACCACCAGGUUUAGACUAUUGAAGCGUCUACCUGGCCUACCUCUGGUUACUGUAUCCAACAGGUACCUAUUAAGGGCCUGUUUGACCUCCCUAUAAAAUUCCUUUUUCACCCUCUUUCAGUCUUUCCACCCUAAUUUCGUAUCUUUUCACUCCCUUUCUCCCAACCUACUUCCCCUCAAAGUCUCUCCUAGACCCUCUCAAGUUAGCCAAGUUACUUGUAGUGUUCUAGUAUCAAAUCUUAAAAGCUUGGUUUUAUGUACAUAAACAUGCUUGUUUGUAAAUGCAAGACAUUUUAU
rnacentral:lncRNA from 1 species